rnacentral:piRNA from 1 species
UGGGAUGAGUGUGGAAUCGUGGCCUCU